rnacentral:rRNA from 1 species
GACGAACCGUGCGAACGUUGUUCGGAAUCACUGGGCUUAAAGGGCGCGUAGGCGGGUCAGCAAGUCCGGGGUGAAAUCUUUCGGCUCAACCGGAAAAGUGCCUUGGAUACUGCUGGUCUGGAGUGAGGUAGGGGCCGCGGGAACUUCCGGUGGAGCGGUGAAAUGCGUUGAUAUCGGAAGGAACGCCGGUGGCGAAAGCGCGCGGCUGGCCCUCAACUGACGCUGAGGCGCGAAAGCUAGGGGAGCAAACGGG